UAUCUUAAAGAUAUUUAGAUCAGCAAUAGCAAGAUUUUCCUGAGGAAAGAGAUGAUUUCAAUAUAGUGCAAAGCCAAGAUGGCGCAUGUGUUUUUCCGCAGAAAAGAAAAAAGUUGUUUUGCCAGAGACACCUGCAUUAAUUUCCCUUAUAAGAAAAGUUACUAAAAAAGAUUCCUCAUCGAAUGGAAAGUCUCCCAUUACUGAGUAAGAAUAUAGAAUAGAAAUUCAGAAGAAAGUUAUAUAUGCAGUGUUAGAAAU